AAUGCCUAUUUAUAAUGCUCAACUUAAAACGUACCCCAAUCCCAAUAUAUUUAGGAUUCAUACUUUAAUUAAUAUCUAAAUUUAUCUUAAUCAAUCUCUAAUAGAUUUAAAUAUUAAUCCUAAUCUAGUUAGGUUUAUCCUCUAAUUAAUAUUUAAAUCUUAAUUUAUCUCAAACAGAUUUAAAUAUUAAUUCUUAUCCAAAUAGGAUUUAACUACAAAUCUAACCAAAUCCUAACACACAUACAAUAUCAAAAAUGUCGAAUAGACAAAUC
rnacentral:lncRNA from 1 species